GACGAACGCUGGCGGCGUGCCUAAUACAUGCAAGUCGAGCGAACGGACGAGAAGCUUGCUUCUCUGAUGUUAGCGGCGGACGGGUGAGUAACACGUGGAUAACCUACCUAUAAGACUGGGAUAACUUCGGGAAACCGGAGCUAAUACCGGAUAAUAUUUUGAACCGCAUGGUUCAAAAGUGAAAGACGGUCUUGCUGUCACUUAUAGAUGGAUCCGCGCUGCAUUAGCUAGUUGGUAAGGUAACGGCUUACCAAGGCAACGAUGCAUAGCCGACCUGAGAGGGUGAUCGGCCACACUGGAACUGAGACACGGUCCAGACUCCUACGGGAGGCAGCAGUAGGGAAUCUUCCGCAAUGGGCGAAAGCCUGACGGAGCAACGCCGCGUGAGUGAUGAAGGUCUUCGGAUCGUAAAACUCUGUUAUUAGGGAAGAACAUAUGUGUAAGUAACUGUGCACAUCUUGACGGUACCUAAUCAGAAAGCCACGGCUAACUACGUG
rnacentral:rRNA from 1 species